rnacentral:lncRNA from 1 species
UUAGUACACAUGUUCCCUAUGAUAUGACCUUUUUAAUUUUAAUGCCAAAUCAGAGUUUUUACCCCAAUUUCACGGUCCACUGAACAUAGAAAAGUGCAAGUGCUGAGUGGGGCAUCCGUGUACUAUGGACACAUUCUUGUUUUUCUUUAUAAAAAAUAAAUAAAUUUUAAACAUGCAUAUUUACAUCAGUCUUUAGGGUUAGGAAAAUAUUUUCUUUUCUUGCAUGUAGUAGAAAGAAAAUUUAUAUUGAUAGCAUGUCAUCUCAUUAUGUUAUUUGUAUUUCAGAUACAAUGCUAAACGUAGACAUUGGAGGAGAACCAAGCUGAAGAUGUAAAAUGGAUGGAUAUUGUUUGGAUUUAAAGUUACUGAACUAUAAAACUUUUAUGAUUAGGAAAGAAAUCAUGAUUUUAGUCCAAAAAUAAAUCUAUCCAGUACAACAAUUUUGUUGGUGUAAUUAUAAAGCCUAUCAAAAGUUAACAACAAUGAAAAACAUGAAUAAUGCUUUUCUGGUUCGGGUAACACAUUACAUGGUUGUAAAAAUUUGGAAUAGCUAUGAUUUUAUCUCUUUGUAAUAAGAAUUAUAUUUCAGAAGGUAGUAGAUCUGGAUGCUUCAU